rnacentral:rRNA from 1 species
UACAGAGGGGGCAAGCGUUGUUCGGAAUUACUGGGCGUAAAGGGCGCGUAGGCGGCCAUGCGUGUCUUCCGUGAAAUCCCUCGGCUUAACUGAGGACGUGCGGAAGAAACUGCAAGGCUUGAGUCCGGGAGAGGGGGGUGGAAUUCCCAGUGUAGCGGUGAAAUGCGUAGAUAUUGGGAGGAACACCGGUGGCGAAGGCGGCCCCCUGGACCGGUACUGACGCUGAGGCGCGAAAGCGUGGGUAGCAAACGGG